CCUACGGGAGGCAGCAGUGGGGGAUAUUGCACAAUGGGGGGAACCCUGAUGCAGCGACGCCGCGUGGGUGAAGAAGCGCCUCGGCGCGUAAAGCCCUGUCAGCAGGGGAGAAAAUGACGGUACCUGAAGAAGAAGCCCCGGCUAACUACGUGCCAGCAGCCGCGGUAAUACGUAGGGGGCCAGCGUUAUCCGGAUUUACUGGGUGUAAAGGGGGCGCAGACGGCGAUGCAAGCCAGGAGGGAAAGCCCGGGGCGCAACCCCGGGACUGCUGUUGGAACUGCGUGGCUGGAGUGCAGGAGGGGCAGGCGGAAUUCCUGGUGUAGCGGUGAAAUGCGGAGAUAUCAGGAGGAACACCGGUGGCGAAGGCGGCCUGCUGGACUGCAACUGACGUUGAGGCCCGAAAGCGUGGGGAGCAAACAGGAUUAGAUACCCGUGUAGUC
rnacentral:rRNA from 1 species